rnacentral:rRNA from 1 species
AGAGUUUGAUCAUGGCUCAGAAUGAACGCUGGCGGCGUGCUUAACACAUGCAAGUCGAACGGUAACAGAGGAGCUUGCUUCUGCUGACGAGUGGCGCACGGGUGAGUAAUGCAUAGGUAACGUGCCCCUUAGUCUAGGAUAGCCACUGGAAACGGUGAUUAAUACUGGAUAUUCCUUCUUUCUUAAUGAGAGUUGGGAAAGUUUUUCGCUAAGGGAUCGGCCUAUGUUGUAUCAGGUAGUUGGUGAGGUAAUGGCUCACCAAGCCUAUGACACAUAGCGGGUCUGAGAGGAUGAUCCGCCACACUGGUACUGAGACACGGACCAGACUCCUACGGGAGGCAGCAGUGGGGAAUAUUGCACAAUGGACGAAAGUCUGAUGCAGCAACGCCGCGUGGAGGAUGACACAUUUCGGUGCGUAAACUCCUUUUAUAUGAGAAGAUAAUGACGGUAUCAUAUGAAUAAGCACCGGCUAACUCCGUGCCAGCAGCCGCGGUAAUACGGAGGGUGCAAGCGUUAUUCGGAAUCACUGGGCGUAAAGGGUGCGUAGGCGGUUUGAUAAGUCUGAUGUGAAAUCCUAUGGCUCAACCAUAGAACUGCAUUGGAAACUGUCAGACUAGAAUACUGAAGGGGCAGAUGGAAUUAGUGGUGUAGGGGUAAAAUCCGUAGAUAUCACUAGGAAUACCGAAAGCGAAAGCGAUCUGCUGGGAAGUUAUUGACGCUGAGGCACGAAAGCGUGGGGAGCAAACGGGAUUAGAUACCCCGGUAGUCCACGCCCUAAACGAUGAAUGCUAGUCGUCGGAAAGCUCGUCUUUUCGGUGAUGCAGUUAACACAUUAAGC